AACCUUUGUUUUCGACCUGAAAUAUGGAAGUCUGCAAUCUAAUAUUUUGUCAGUAGUCUUAUAUCACUGGUUUGCAGAUAUUUUAGCAAAAAAAUAGGUCAUUCCAAGACAAAAAAUACAAAAGUUGUAAAAACAGUAAAUCUGUGAGAGUGCAGCUUUAAAUGACUAAAUGUUUUGAUUUGGCUCAAUUUUCACCUAAAAUCUUAUAGUUUUGUUGCACCUAAAUGGUAUGUUUUUAACAACAUUACACAUGCAUAUGUAUAAAUUUGUUCUUAAAUUUGUAAUUUAGAUUGGAAGAUUCAUUCUCUGGAAAGUAGAAAAGGGCAUGUUACAUACUGUUAUCAUUGCCAUGACAGAAACCAUAUUGAGGAGCUGGUCCACCUGUAGGAAGAAUUGCGCUAUUGGUUGCAGCAGCACUAUUACCCAGCCAUACACCAGCACUUAGUUUGUCAUAGGGAGCAUUUCUGAGCAGUUAUGGAGACCACUAACUAUGCAGUUGUUGCAGUGAAACUUGCACCAGUGUGUUUUCUGUGGAGAUAAAGAGAUAGUGUCCAGCAAUGAAGACCCAACUCAAGAUCUGACCUUGUAAGGCCAAUAUGAAAUAACUGUGUGGGAAAAUGGGAAAAACCUGCAGUCAGGAAUGCACGGAAAUCAUCAAAAGAACAGUGUUAAAUUAAUCUUGAAUAACUUGACAUUUAUUUUGUUUGACAUAUUUAUUCAUGGUGCAGUGAAAACAUUCUCUUUUUCUCAUGGUUAUUUAAAUUUAGAAUUGAUAGGAGGGAACAUCACUAUGUAGUUUCAUGUUCAUAGUCAGAUCAAAACCCAUUUACAUGCCCAAAUGAGCAUUCGAAAAUAUCAAAAUGGUACUUGUUGUAUGUAGUGUAAGUUAAUUAACGUAAUAAACAAAAAUAUUUAA